GAUGGACGCUGGCGGCGUGCCUAAUACAUGCAAGUCGAGCGAACAGACGAGGAGCUUGCUCCUCUGACGUUAGCGGCGGACGGGUGAGUAACACGUGGAUAACCUACCUAUAAGACUGGGAUAACUUCGGGAAACCGGAGCUAAUACCGGAUAAUAUAUUGAACCGCAUGGUUCAAUAGUGAAAGACGGUUUUGCUGUCACUUAUAGAUGGAUCCGCGCCGCAUUAGCUAGUUGGUAAGGUAACGGCUUACCAAGGCAACGAUGCGUAGCCGGCCUGAGAGGGUGAUCGGCCACACUGGAACUGAGACACGGUCCAGACUCCUACGGGAGGCAGCAGUAGGGAAUCUUCCGCAAUGGGCGAAAGCCUGACGGAGCAACGCCGCGUGAGUGAUGAAGGUCUUCGGAUCGUAAAACUCUGUUAUUAGGGAAGAACAAAUGUGUAAGUAACUAUGCACGUCUUGACGGUACCUAAUCAGAAAGCCACGGCUAACUACGUG
rnacentral:rRNA from 1 species